GAUGAACGCUGGCGGCGUGCCUAAUACAUGCAAGUAGAACGCUGAAGGAGGAGCUUGCUCUUCUGGAUGAGUUGCGAACGGGUGAGUAACGCGUAGGUAACCUGCCUGGUAGCGGGGGAUAACUAUUGGAAACGAUAGCUAAUACCGCAUGACAACAGUUAUUGCAUGAUAACUGUUUAAAAGGGGCAACUGCUCCACUACCAGAUGGACCUGCGUUGUAUUAGCUAGUUGGUGAGGUAACGGCUCACCAAGGCGACGAUACAUAGCCGACCUGAGAGGGUGAUCGGCCACACUGGGACUGAGACACGGCCCAGACUCCUACGGGAGGCAGCAGUAGGGAAUCUUCGGCAAUGGACGGAAGUCUGACCGAGCAACGCCGCGUGAGUGAAGAAGGUUUUCGGAUCGUAAAGCUCUGUUGUAAGAGAAGAACGAGUGUGAGAGUGGAAAGUUCAUACUGUGACGGUAUCUUACCAGAAAGGGACGGCUAACUACGUG
rnacentral:rRNA from 1 species